GACGAACGCUGGCGGCGUGCCUAACACAUGCAAGUCGAGCGAGGUCCAUCUAGUAGCAACACUGGGGAAGACCUAGCGGCGAACGGGUGAGUAACACACGAGAAGCCUGCCCCGAAGUCUGGGAUAAGCCUGGGAAACCGGGUUUAAUACCGGAUAGCCCCUCCGGAUCGCAUGGUAUGGAGAGGCAAGAACUUCGCUCCGGGAGGGUCCGGCGGCCUCUCAGUUUGUUGGUGGGGUAACGGCCCACCAAGACAUCGACGGGUAGCCGGUCUGAGAGGACGGUCAGCCACACUGGGACUGAGACACGGCCCAGACUCCUACGGGAGGCAGCAGUGGGGAAUCUUGCGCAAUGGGCGAAAGCCUGACGCAGCAACGCCGCGUGCGGGAUGCAGGCCUUCGGGUUGUAAACCGCUUUCAGGAGGGACGAAACCAGACGGUACCUUCAGAAGAAGCCCCGGCCAACUACGUGCCAGCCGCCGCGGUAAUAC
rnacentral:rRNA from 1 species